UUAAGUUAUUAAGGGCGCACGGUGGAUGCCUUGGCACUAGAAGCCGAUGAAGGACGUUACUAACGACGAUAUGCUUUGGGGAGCUGUAAGUAAGCUUUGAUCCAGAGAUUUCCGAAUGGGGAAACCCAGCAUGAGUUAUGUCAUGUUAUCGAUAUGUGAAUACAUAGCAUAUCAGAAGGCACACCCGGAGAACUGAAACAUCUUAGUACCCGGAGGAAGAGAAAGAAAAUUCGAUUCCCUUAGUAGCGGCGAGCGAAACGGGAAGAGCCCAAACCAAAAAGCUUGCUUGUUGGGGUUGUAGGACACUCUAUACGGAGUUACAAAGGACGACAUUAGACGAAUCAUCUGGAAAGAUGAAUCAAAGAAGGUAAUAAUCCUGUAGUCGAAAAUGUUGUCUCUCUUGAGUGGAUCCUGAGUACGACGGAGCACGUGAAAUUCCGUCGGAAUCUGGGAGGACCAUCUCCUAAGGCUAAAUACUCUCUAGUGACCGAUAGUGAACCAGUACCGUGAGGGAAAGGUGAAAAGCACCCCGGAAGGAGAGUGAAAUAGAACCUGAAACCGUGUGCUUACAAGUAGUCAGAGCCCGUUAAUGGGUGAUGGCGUGCCUUUUGUAGAAUGAACCGGCGAGUUACGAUUUGAUGCAAGGUUAAGCAGUAAAUGUGGAGCCGUAGCGAAAGCGAGUCUGAAUAGGGCGUUUAGUAUUUGGUCGUAGACCCGAAACCAGGUGAUCUACCCUUGGUCAGGUUGAAGUUCAGGUAACACUGAAUGGAGGACCGAACCGACUUACGUUGAAAAGUGAGCGGAUGAACUGAGGGUAGCGGAGAAAUUCCAAUCGAACCUGGAGAUAGCUGGUUCUCUCCGAAAUAGCUUUAGGGCUAGCCUCAAGUGAUGAUUAUUGGAGGUAGAGCACUGUUUGGACGAGGGGCCCCUCUCGGGUUACCGAAUUCAGACAAACUCCGAAUGCCAAUUAAUUUAACUUGGGAGUCAGAACAUGGGUGAUAAGGUCCGUGUUCGAAAGGGAAACAGCCCAGACCACCAGCUAAGGUCCCAAAAUAUAUGUUAAGUGGAAAAGGAUGUGGCGUUGCCCAGACAACUAGGAUGUUGGCUUAGAAGCAGCCAUCAUUUAAAGAGUGCGUAAUAGCUCACUAGUCGAGUGACACUGCGCCGAAAAUGUACUGGGGCUAAACAUAUUACCGAAGCUGUGGAUUGUCCUUUGGACAAUGGUAGGAGAGCGUUCUAAGGGCGUUGAAGCAUGAUCGUAAGGACAUGUGGAGCGCUUAGAAGUGAGAAUGCCGGUGUGAGUAGCGAAAGACGGGUGAGAAUCCCGUCCACCGAUUGACUAAGGUUUCCAGAGGAAGGCUCGUCCGCUCUGGGUUAGUCGGGUCCUAAGCUGAGGCCGACAGGCGUAGGCGAUGGAUAACAGGUUGAUAUUCCUGUACCACCUAUAAUCGUUUUAAUCGAUGGGGGGACGCAGUAGGAUAGGCGAAGCGUGCGAUUGGAUUGCACGUCUAAGCAGUAAGGCUGAGUAUUAGGCAAAUCCGGUACUCGUUAAGGCUGAGCUGUGAUGGGGAGAAGACAUUGAGUCUUCGAGUCGUUGAUUUCACACUGCCGAGAAAAGCCUCUAGAUAGAAAAUAGGUGCCCGUACCGCAAACCGACACAGGUAGUCAAGAUGAGAAUUCUAAGGUGAGCGAGCGAACUCUCGUUAAGGAACUCGGCAAAAUGACCCCGUAACUUCGGGAGAAGGGGUGCUCUUUAGGGUUAACGCCCAGAAGAGCCGCAGUGAAUAGGCCCAAGCGACUGUUUAUCAAAAACACAGGUCUCUGCUAAACCGUAAGGUGAUGUAUAGGGGCUGACGCCUGCCCGGUGCUGGAAGGUUAAGAGGAGUGGUUAGCUUCUGCGAAGCUACGAAUCGAAGCCCCAGUAAACGGCGGCCGUAACUAUAACGGUCCUAAGGUAGCGAAAUUCCUUGUCGGGUAAGUUCCGACCCGCACGAAAGGCGUAACGAUUUGGGCACUGUCUCAACGAGAGACUCGGUGAAAUCAUAGUACCUGUGAAGAUGCAGGUUACCCGCGACAGGACGGAAAGACCCCGUGGAGCUUUACUGUAGCCUGAUAUUGAAAUUCGGCACAGCUUGUACAGGAUAGGUAGGAGCCUUUGAAACGUGAGCGCUAGCUUACGUGGAGGCGCUGGUGGGAUACUACCCUAGCUGUGUUGGCUUUCUAACCCGCACCACUUAUCGUGGUGGGAGACAGUGUCAGGCGGGCAGUUUGACUGGGGCGGUCGCCUCCUAAAAGGUAACGGAGGCGCUCAAAGGUUCCCUCAGAAUGGUUGGAAAUCAUUCAUAGAGUGUAAAGGCAUAAGGGAGCUUGACUGCGAGACCUACAAGUCGAGCAGGGUCGAAAGACGGACUUAGUGAUCCGGUGGUUCCGCAUGGAAGGGCCAUCGCUCAACGGAUAAAAGCUACCCCGGGGAUAACAGGCUUAUCUCCCCCAAGAGUUCACAUCGACGGGGAGGUUUGGCACCUCGAUGUCGGCUCAUCGCAUCCUGGGGCUGUAGUCGGUCCCAAGGGUUGGGCUGUUCGCCCAUUAAAGCGGUACGCGAGCUGGGUUCAGAACGUCGUGAGACAGUUCGGUCCCUAUCCGUCGUGGGCGUAGGAAAUUUGAGAGGAGCUGUCCUUAGUACGAGAGGACCGGGAUGGACAUACCUCUGGUGUACCAGUUGUCGUGCCAACGGCAUAGCUGGGUAGCUAUGUGUGGACGGGAUAAGUGCUGAAAGCAUCUAAGCAUGAAGCCCCCCUCAAGAUGAGAUUUCCCAACUUCGGUUAUAAGAUCCCUCAAAGAUGAUGAGGUUAAUAGGUUCGAGGUGGAAGCAUGGUGACAUGUGGAGCUGACGAAUACUAAUCGAUCGAAGACUUAAUCAA
rnacentral:rRNA from 1 species